rnacentral:tRNA from 1 species
ACAGGCGAAUACAAAGGGUCGAGUGCCCAGUCCUUCAAACUGGUAGGUCAAAAGCUGUUAGCGGGUUCAAGUCCCGCCGCCUGGA